rnacentral:rRNA from 1 species
UACGGAGGGUGCGAGCGUUGUCCGGAAUCACUGGGCGUAAAGGGCGCGUAGGCGGCCUGAUAAGUAGGGGGUGAAAUCCUGCGGCUUAACCGCAGGGCUGCCUUCUAAACUGUCGGGCUAGAGCACGGUAGAGGCAGUUGGAAUUCCCGGUGUAGCGGUGGAAUGCGUAGAGAUCGGGAAGAACAUCAGUGGCGAAGGCGGUCUGCUGGGCCGUUGCUGACGCUGAGGCGCGACAGCGUGGGGAGCAAACAGG